rnacentral:rRNA from 1 species
UGGAAACGUAUGCUAAUACCGAAUAUGCUCUACGGAGUAAAGGUGCCCUCUCCUUGGAAGGUAUCGCUAUAGGAUGAGCCCGCGUGAGAUUAGUUAGUUGGUAAGGUAAUGGCUUACCAAGGCGACGAUCUCUAGCUGGUUUGAGAGGAUGAUCAGCCACACUGGGACUGAGACACGGCCCAGACUCCUACGGGAGGCAGCAGUGGGGAAUAUUGCACAAUGAGCGAAAGCUUGAUGCAGCCAUACCGCGUGUGUGAAGAAGGCCCGAGGGUUGUAAAGCACUUUCAAUUGUGAGGAAGAUAGUGUCGCUAAUAUCGGCAUUGUUUGACGUUAACUUUAGAAGAAGCACCGGCUAACUCUGUGCCAGCAGCCGCGGUAAUACAGAGGGUGCAAGCGUUAUUCGGAAUUACUGGGCGUAAAGCGCGCGUAGGCGGAUUAUUAAGUCAGUUGUGAAAGCCCUGGGCUCAACCUGGGAACUGCAUCUGAUACUGGUAGUCUAGAGUUUAAGAGAGGGAAGUGGAAUUCCAGGUGUAGCAGUGAAAUGCGUAGAUAUCUGGAGGAACAUCAGUGGCGAAGGCGACUUCCUGGCUUAAAACUGACGCUGAGGUGCGAAAGCGUGGGUAGCGAACGGGAUUAGAU